rnacentral:rRNA from 1 species
CUACGGGAUGCUGCAGUGAGGAAUAUUGCGCAAUGGGGGAAACCCUGACGCAGCGACGCCGCGUAGAUGAUGAAGGCCUUCGGGUCGUAAAAUCCUGUCAGAAGGAAAGAAGUGUAUGGUAGCUAAUAUCUGCCAUACUUGACGGUACCUUCAAAGGAAGCACCGGCUAACUCCGUGCCAGCAGCCGCGGUAAUACGGAGGGUGCAAGCGUUGUUCGGAAUUACUGGGCGUAAAGCGCGCGUAGGCGGUUUUAUAAGUCAGAUGUGAAAGUCCACGGCUCAACCAUGGAAGUGCAUUUGAAACUGUAAGACUUGAGUAUUGGAGGGGGUAGUGGAAUUCCCGGUGUAGAGGUGAAAUUCGUAGAUAUCGGGAGGAAUACCGGUGGCGAAGGCGACUAUCUGGCCAAAUACUGACGCUGAGGUGCGAAAGCGUGGGGAGCAAACAGGAUUAGAUACCCGCGUAGUC